UCAAAGUUCCCUUUGGUUUGA
rnacentral:piRNA from 1 species